AUUGAACGCUGGCGGCAUGCUUUACACAUGCAAGUCGAACGGUAACAGGGAGCUUGCUCCGCUGACGAGUGGCGAACGGGUGAGUAAUGCGUCGGAACGUGCCGAGUAGUGGGGGAUAACGCAUAGAAAGGUGUGCUAAUACCGCAUACGUACUGAGGUAGAAAGUGGGGGACCUUCGGGACUCACGCUAUUCGAGCGGCCGACGUCUGAUUAGCUAGUUGGUGAGGUAAAGGCUCACCAAGGCGACGAUCAGUAGCGGGUCUGAGAGGAUGAUCCGCCACACUGGGACUGAGACACGGCCCAGACUCCUACGGGAGGCAGCAGUGGGGAAUUUUGGACAAUGGGCGCAAGCCUGAUCCAGCCAUGCCGCGUGUCUGAAGAAGGCCUUCGGGUUGUAAAGGACUUUUGUCCGGGAGCAAAUGCUGGUGGCUAACAUCCACCGGAGCUGAGAGUACCGGAAGAAUAAGCACCGGCUAACUACGUGCCAGCCGCCGCGGUAAUAC
rnacentral:rRNA from 1 species